AUAUCCGUUGUGGAAAAUUCAUCAUUAAGAUUUAAAAUACAAAAAAAAUAUUUUAAAUAAUGGUGUGCAUUUUUUCCCAUAAAGGACAUUGUAAUCUAUUAACAUAUACACAAAAUUUAUCAUAAGAUCAAUUGCGCUUUAGUUUAUUCUAAUUUUAUUGCUUGCAAUUUAAUAUCGAAUAAUUGCUUUUGAUUUGAUAAAGUGUUGAUAGAUUCAAAAUUAUAUGGUGCUUAAAUAUUUAUUACAAAUAUUUUAUAAUAGCAUAUUAAUUAUUAAUUUUUAUGUUUAUUUUAUAUGCACUUAUAUGAUUAACAAUGCGAAAGAUUCAGGAUACCUUCGGGACCCGUCUUGAAACACGGACCAAGGAGUCUAACAUAUUUGCAAGUUAUUGGGUAUAUUAAAUAAAACCUAAUAGCGUAAUUAACAUAACUAAAAAUAUUAUUAUAAUAAUGGGAUUAGUUUUUGGGCCUUACGUGUCCUAUUAAUUCAAUCCCGGGGCGUUCUAUACAGUUAUGUAUAAUAAUAUUUAUAUUAUUUAUACCUCUAACUAGAGCGUACCUUGA
rnacentral:rRNA from 1 species